rnacentral:lncRNA from 1 species
CAGAAUGACGCGACGCGCACAGCCGCACAGUAAACGGACCGGACCGAAGCAAACCUGUUCGUUCCCGUUUGUGUUUCCUCGAGACGAGAGUCUCAGCAUUUCAGCACGCAUCACAGUUUGUUCAGUCCGGUUGUUAUUAAUAAAAUUCAUGGUAUUUGUGAAGAAAACCUUGGAGGCAAGGGCGGGUGCACAAUAUGAGUGAACUUGAGGAGGCGGCGGCGGCGGAGUCAGCCAGAACCUCCGAGUGUGAGAUGCCUCGUGUACUAGUACCACUACGAUGGAGGAGUACCUAGCGUCGUGGCUCUCCCUAUGUAAAUAUUUAGAUGUUUAAAGAACACAGAAAACAUAUUGAUAUUUUGCAGUUAUUAUCAGAAGAGGAAAUAUAAGAAAUUAUUACAAGGCGAAACUGAUUACCCAAACAGUCAUGCUACAAAACAUAAUUAGUAUAAUUACGGACGCAUUUUCCAAAAAAAACAUUGUGAAGAAGUCCUGGACCUGGCAGCAUUUAUGGCGACCCCUUUUUUGGUGACUACUUCGAACGUAGGCAAGAGUAAGAAUUAAACCAGGUCUACUCUAAACUUCUCUGGUGGCCGUCUAAGCUGAUUGUGCCGGAAGGAUUUUUUUUAUGCAUGUGAAAUGUGCUGCGCAAAUAGAAGAGACCAUCGCACGCAGAGCGGAAAGACGGUGCGAAAUGGAAUUAACGUUGCCGCCGUCUAAAUUGUAAGAUAUUCUAUCAAAGCUCUA